rnacentral:RNase_P_RNA from 1 species
GUGCAACAGAGAGCAAACCGCCGAUGGCCCACGCAAGUGGGAUCAGGUAAGGGUGAAAGGGUGCGGUAAGAGCGCACCGCGCGGCUGGUAACAGUCCGUGGCACGGUAAACUCCACCCGGAGCAAGGCCAAAUAGGGGUUCAUAAGGUACGGCCCGUACUGAACCCGGGUAGGCUGCUUGAGCCAGUGAGCGAUUGCUGGCCUAGAUGAAUGACUGUCCACGACAGAACCCGGCUUAUCGGUCAGUUUCACUU